AAGGGCACCACAAGAACGCGUGGAGCAUGUGGCUUAAUUUGACUCAACCCGGGAAAUCUUACCAGGUCCAGACAUAUUGAGGAUUGACAGGCGAUAGUAUAUAAAAUAUAUUUUUAUAUGCAUAAAAAUGAUAGUCCUUUCAUGAUUAUAUGAUAGGUGGUGCAUGGCCGUUCUUAGUUCGUGGAGUGAUUUGUCUGCUUAAUUGCGUUUCAGUAAAUAAAAUAUAUAAUAUAUUAUAAUAUUUAGUUCUGCCAUUUAUUUAUGGAUUUAAAGUGAACAUAUUAUAUAUAUUAUUAUAUAAUAAAUGAAUGCAACGAACGUGACCGUAACCUUUUAUUGCUAUUGAAAAUUAUAAUUAUAGCAUAAAAUUAAAGGAACCGCUGUCAUUACUAAAUAUGUGUUAAAAUAGAGUAAGAUUAUGGCAAUAACAGGUCUGUGAUGCCCUCAGAUGUUCUGGGCUGCACACGUGCUACAAUAAAUACAUUAAUAAGUAUAUAUACUUUAUAAUAUAUAAUAUUAUAUUACAACCUAUUUCGAAAGUAAAUCGGUAAUCAUUUAAAAAUCGUGAUUAAUUAAUAUAAAUAUAAUUAAUUUAAGGUGGGGAUAGUGUAUUGUUAAUUAUUACACUUGGCCUUAACUAGGAAUGCCUUGUACUCUUCUUUGGUUUAACAUACCAAGAGGAAUACGUCCCUGCCCUUUGUACACACCGCCCGUCGCUCUUACCGAUGAAUUAUAUUAUAAAUCUAAGGGAUUUAUUAUAAUUAAAAUAUAAAAAACUUAUAUACAUAAUGGAUUUAAAGGAAAGAGAAGUCGAACAAGGCA
rnacentral:rRNA from 1 species